UUAAUUGAAGAAUUUAUGUGAUUGCUUAGAUUGUUUGCUUGUUCAGAGAAAGGAACUGCAGUUCUAGAACUGCAAAAUUUUUGCAGAUGCAUUCAUGUUCAUGUUCUUGAAAUAUUCUGCAAAUCUGAGUAAUGGUUUAUGUGCCUGUGCUAACAAUCUCUUCAUGCUGUCAUAAACAACCAUGAAAAUUGGGGAAACUACAGUUUUGAGGAAUUGAACCAUGGCAUGGCAGAGCAAUUCGCAAUGAUUUCUAGAGAACAGGGAGGUAUCAUGAAAUUCAUUCAAGUUUCUUGCUUUGGAGCAUCUGCAUCAUCUCAUCAAGAGUGCUAAGAGCUAAGGCUGCUGGAGAGGAAGCUGUUUUGAGAGAAAUGCAUCGAGGUAAAUAUUUAGUCUUGGUUUUACUAUGGCCCAUGCUAAUGAUGCAUUAUUUGGGUUUUUUAAAGUGAUCAUAUCAUGGGAGCCAAGUUUCAACCCUACAGCGAUCUAGAUGCAUACACUGCUUUGUUAUCACCAUUUAUGUGCUUUGUGUUUCUUAAUGUAAAAUAGAGGCUGUGAAAAUUGGUUUUGAAGAAGAAUGGCUAUUUUGGAGCUGUCAUUUAGCUUGUUAAGCCCAAUGGUGGAUCAAAAUUGCAUCCUACAUUUCAGUAUAUUUUGCACCAUUCCUCUGGAAUGGAGCAUUUUGCUUCUACUUGUUACCUUGAUCCAACAAAAGUAUGUGUCCCCUCUAUUCUAUCCACUUUCCCAUGGAAAUAUUUUUGUUACUUUGGAGGGGAAGCUCAUUUCCCAUGGAAAUACUCGCGGGAACGAUGGCUGUUCUCUUCCCAUUCCUUUCAACUCUUUCUCUUAUUACUUUUACUUUUACUUUUAGGAGUGUUAAAAAAAACUGACCAACUGGGAAAACCUUUUUUAAAAAAUUAACUGAAAACAAAACUGCAAGAAAAAACUGAAGAAACCAAUUUAAAAACCAAAUUAACCCUAAAACAUUUCCCCCUUUUUCCUUUGACAGCAGCUGCUAGCUGCAUCUCCUCCUAUCAUAUAUCUCUCAUUCUCCCUUGAAAGAUUACCUUAAAUCCAUCGAUUGUUCCUUUUUGGCUGCAGCUGCCCUUCCCCACCCCCCUUCCCUCUCUGUCAUUCUUCCUUUUUGAUCGAAGACCCAAUCCAUCAAUUUCAAGGUAAUCUUCAAUUUUCUUUUUUAAUUUCUCAUAAUUUGGAUUUUAAUUAGUAGUUAGGGUUUUUCUUACUCGCUUUUGAAAUUUCUUAAUUAGUAACUGUAAUAUUUUUUCUCCUCUCUCUUGACAGUCGCUGUGAGUUCAUGACUCAUUUCUCUUCUCUGUUCUGUUUAUUCUCUUGCGAACAUGGUAUGUUGUUUUUUUUUUUAAUUUUAAUUGAUAGCUGAUUUUAAUUUUGUAAUUUAAAGGCAUUUCAGGUUCAAAUUGGGUUUUGAUUAAGUAUUUUGUUUUGAUACCAAAAAAAGAAAAGAAAAAACGAAGAAGUAUUCAGUGACUCAGUGCAACCUAUUUUCAGGUUUUAUCCAUGACAAUGAACUAACCUAACUUAAUAGAUAUUAAUGCUAGAUUGUUUGAUUAUUUAAACUUGCUGUUAAUAUAAAUUUUUAGGUUUUGAUGAUCCAUGACAAUAAACCAAGAUAAUAUUAAUAGAUAUUAAGUUUGAUUAUUCUUUGAUUAAAUUUACUAUUAAUAUAAUUUUUUUGGUAUUGAUGAAGGAUUUUAGUGACUAACCUAAUGUUAAUAGAUAUUAAUGCUAGAUUCAUUUGGGUAGUUGUAAUUUUUUAGCUUGUAAUAUAUUGUUAUUACUUAAUUGGUUGCUGUUAAUUAUUAGUUAAUUUGUAUUAUCAUUAUUUUUUUUAUUUCAGAUAGAUAAUUAGAAAGAUCCUACAUUAAAGAAAUCAAAUCCUUUAAGUUUGGAACCCAAUCCUUCACCUAUUCCGGUCACUACCUCUAGUAUAAAUAAUAAUAUUGAAGGUAACAAUCAUCCACCUUCUAGAUCUAAUAAAAAAAAAUCUCAAAUUUAGAAUUACUUUAAAAAACUUGACGGUGAUUCUAAAGAAAGACUAUGAUUGUCAUCUAAGUAUGCAAGAAUUUAUUUUUAUUUUUUUUGUGAUUAAUCUAGAGCAAAAAACUUUGGUUUUAGAACCUAAGUCCUAAAAUAAAAAGGGGUUGGUAAGGGAGAGGAAAAUUUGAUAACUAUUAAGGCAGUUGAAAAGCCCUAACAAAAUGAUUUAACUUUGUAGAGAAUCAAUGAUUUAAAUCUUUUUGUUGGAUAGUGCAACCUAAAUUUAAUGUUCCUUCUCGUUUGAUGUUUGAUGAUUUAAAGAGAUUGUUCGAAAAUUUAUAUAGAUGAGAAAGUAAAUUAAAGAAAGCUUUCAAUGGGCAGUUAAUGAAUAUGUUUAAUAACUGAUAUCUGGAAGGUAAAUUAAAGAAAGCUUUCAAUGGGCAGUUAAUGAGUAUGUUUAAUAACUGAUAUCUGGGUAUCAAUCCAAAAUAUUAAUUAUAUGUGUUUAAAUAGAAGAAUUCUAAACUUUUAAAAGUGAAACAACUUGCUUAAGCAAUUGGGAGUUGUUUGUUGAAAUAAGAAAUUGAUAAGAUUUUAAUGGUUACAAUAGACAAUGUAAAUUCAAAUAAUUUUACUAUUAAAUAUUUGAAGAGAGCAACAAAUGGUUAGGUAAGUAAUAUGUUGUCAAAUGAUUUCAUGCAUGUUAGAUGUUAUGCAUAUAUUGUUAAUUUUAUUGCAUGUGUGUGAUUGAAAAAUAUUCGAAAUGCAGUUAACUUUGUUAGAUUUUCUCCUUCUAGACAACUUGUAUUUAACCAAGAUGUUAAUAUUGUUAAUUCAAUGGUGAUAAUAAUAUGUCAGAUGACUUGACUUUUCAAUUCAAAAAACAUUUAGGGUUUAUUUGUUUUGCGUAAAAUAUGUUAUAGGAAAAUGUUUUCCAAAUGUUUUCUAUGUUUAUUUUCAAAAAAUAUUUUCUAGAAAAUGCUUUUUUGUAUUUGUUUCCUGUAAAAUAUUUUACAGAUAACCUUCAAAUCUAGUUUAUUUGCUUAAAAAUAUUUUUAACUCAAGAAGUUCCAUAAAACAUUUUACAGGAAAACAUUUUAUGGGAAAAAUAUGUUACAUCUGUAAAAUAUUUUAAGCAAAACAAACGCAUUCUUAAAGGAGAAAGAUGAUGCGAGAAGAAAAAAUGAUGUUAAGAUGUAUAUUUAAGUGAUGGUUAUGAGGAUAUUAAUGAUUUUAAAUUAGAUAUUUUAGGUUAGUAGAGAUGUAAUGCCAUAAAAUACAAGAUUAUUUCUAAUGUGGCAUAACAGGUGUUAGAUAUUCCGGUAUCUACAAUUGUUUCUAAAGUAGCCUUCAACACUAGCAGUUGUAUAUUACAUCCAUUUUGAAGCUUUUUAUCUUCAUCAACAAUGUAAGCACUUGUUUGUUAUCAAAAUUGGUUAUGGUUAGCAUCAAUUCCAAUCGAUAUUAGAGUAUUUAUGGAUUAUAUAGAAAAUUCUUAUAUGAUUGAGUCAAGUAAUUUGUUUUAUAAAUUUAAAAUUAGUUAUUUUAUAUCAUCGUUUCUUUACAUGUUUAAUUUAUGAUUUUGUAGAACUUGGAAAAUUUGAAAAUCUCUAUUAAUUGUUUUUUUUGGGUGAUGUUGGUGAAAUGCUAGAAUAUUUGACUUGCUGAACCUUGUAAUUUUGCAUUUUUAAUUUUUUUACUAGUCAUUGCUAAUUUUGCAAGCGUUUCUUUAUUUUGUAGUUGAUGGAUUUUCUAGACUGUAAACAUCCCUAAUUACUAUUAGUGAUUGUUAAAGUGUUUUCAUUGCAGAUUUCUAAAUAAACUACGAUGUAUCAUAAAUAUUUGAGUAAACGAUUGAGACUCGAUUGAUAAUUUUAUUGCAUAUUAAGGUCUAUUUUGGUGCUUUGGAUGCAAGCACUUAAUGAGUAUAUGUCUAAUUUUCAUAAUGUUUUUAGGGUAAAUUUGAUAAAAUCAAAAGACUUGAGACUCGGAUUGAUAAUAAUGAGGUGAUGUGCUUGGGGUUAAAUUGAUGUUUCCCAUCAUAAGGAUUAAAUUGUAAAUUUUAUAAAAUAUAGGAAUAAAAACUUGCAAAUAAGAACCAAUUUGUAAAUAAAAAAAUAUGGAUUAAAAUAAAUAUUCAAAAAUUAUAAGAACUAAAAUAAAAAUUUAUCAAGUCUCCAUUAGAUUAUUAAAAAAUUUGCAACAAAACAAACGAAUAUAAUGAAGAAUUCCAUCCCAGUCCCUUAUAUUUCGCAUGUUGCAUAAUACAAAAUAUAAUGUAGGUGUAUUACACAUUUGAGAUUAGUUUCCCAUUUUUAGAAGCAAGGUAUCCGUUUUUUUUUUUUUUUUCAAUUGAUUGGGCAACCGAAUUCAGAAAGGUUUCGUUUUGUCUAAUGCUAUAUGGUUUUCUUGGCAAUCAAUGAAAGCAAUGGUGCUCUUCCUAGAAUGAAUUAUUAUAUCUAGCCCGAUCUACCAAGUUGAUAAAGACUCGACCGACUUAUUAUUUAGCUUGACCUGAAAGGUUGAUUCGAGACUUAGUUAAUUUAGAGUCUUUUUAGUCCAGCUUUUAAAAAAAAAAAAAAAAUUAAGGAGUUGACCAAUAUGAUAACUAAUUAAUCAAUUUAUGUCCUAGUUGGACUAAAAAAUUAAAACAAAAUCAUUUGAUUAUCUCGGGUCAAUUCAAGUUAACUUGGCUAACUUGUAACUUAUCUUAGACCGAGUCAUAUGCUGGGUCGGAUUUAUAGACUGUGAUUAGACUCUACGGUACUCUAGGGUUAUGGUAUUUAUGUAUUUUUAUAAGAUGAUGAUUUUAUUUGUCAUGUAACAUACUCUACGGUACUCUAGACCGAGUCAUAUGCUGGGUCGGAUUUAUGGACUGUGAUUAGACUCUACGGUACUCUAGGGUUAUGGUAUUUAUGUAUUUUUAUAAGAUGAUGAUUUUAUUUGUCAUGUAACAUACUUCAAUUGAAGCAUGGGAAUGUUGAAGAAUAUGUGCAAAUCUCCCAAUUUCCAAUGGCUUAAGCAACACAAGAAGCACUAGAUUGUGACUCAAGUCAUUCCAUGGGAACAUUACCUUUCCUUGUAGCAUAAGAAAA